UCUCCUGCUCCCUCACUUCUUUCGUGUCUACUUAUUAUAACUUGUGCUGUUUUUCUCUUUUCUGCUCUUUAUUAGCUUGUGGUCAUUGCAGUUCAGAAAGAAAAAAAUGCUCACCCCAAAGUUGUUUAUACUAUUCUUUGCUUGUCUCCUAAUAAUUGCUCCCAAUUUAUCUCCCAACCCAAAUGGUGUGGAAGCUACUCAGGUUCUAACCAUCCAUAAAGGGUACACAAAGCGUCAAGUUUAUUCCACUCUGGGGCUCGUGUGCAAAUGCUGUGAUGGUAAAGGUGGCGAAUGUACAAGCACAUGGGAGGAUGAUGCUUGCUCCAACCUCGUGUGCAAACCAUGGAAGUAUUAGGGAUUGAGCUACUUAUAUACUAAGCUUAAUUCAUAAAUAAAUAAUAUCAAAAUUAAUAUAUAUGCCCCAUGCACUAUGAUCAUCAUGUAGUAGAAUUAUAAGUAAA